rnacentral:lncRNA from 1 species
AACAUUAUGGAUACAACUGAGUUGGGUUUGUGGAGCAGCCGUGCUUUACUUUCAAGAUACCAACUUCCAGUCAAAGGCUUGGCACGUGGCUGGCAGGCUGUUCCAUUGCACGACUCCCAGUGCUGGAGGAGGCAGCACUGUACUGAGUGGGUCACUUCUCCCACUCACUCCGACCAGCAACCUGAGUGCAGAGGUAGACUCCUGACCAGUGAGACAUGAGGCCAGCAGAUCUGGGACUACAGGGCAGAGGACUCCCAGAAUUCUAGGUGAUGAAAACAACCUCCUGGGCAGCAAGGCUAUCUCCAAGUGGAGGGCCUUAGCUAUGGGAGCCUCCUCCUGGCAGUGUUUGGGUCUUCGCUGUUGGCUCCCUGCUUGCUCAGCCCAGCAUUGCUGGCUGCACAGAGAGAUGGUGCCAUGUGACAUUCACCUGAUGAAGGCCUACCUCCCUAGCUCCUGCAGAACAUCUACCCCCGAAAGCAAGACUGACUGGAACACAGCCUCCUGUGAUGAUGUCCCUUCCUCUCCCAGGGUCCCACAGACACAAUUCCUCAACGCUUGCUGGACUACAUUUUGAGAUUGUUUUGGUUCACUGUGCCAAGGGAUAUUGGCACAGCUCUGAACACGCUUUCUGUGAUGACUGAUUGGUGUUCAUCUUGUGGCCAUCCUAGGUGAAGAGAAGGCCAGGUGUCUAGGGAUGAAGUCCAUCCAGCCCAUGGCAGCAAGUUUCAUGAUGGAGCACACAUUGUUAGGGCACACACAGAGAUGUUCCAGAAAGCCUCUUUGAAGAAGCUCAGACUUAUCCCUAGCACAGGAUGAUGUGAGAAGCCUUUCAAGUUUGGUUUUCUUCCCUGAAGAUCCUUUCUUGUGUGGUGCUGCUCUCAUAGAGAACCUGAACUUGGUUCUCAAAGCCCAAAUAUUCUGGAGCAUGAACACAGAGUUUUUAGCAUGACAGGCAAAACACUCGACACCUGAGGCUUUGCUGUGUUACUGGGCAGGCCUGUGUGACAUGGGCCUCAGCAACCACACAAGGUCAAACACUGCAGGAUCAACUCUGGACCCUGUUCUCGUCAGAGAGGAAGGCAGACUAUGGGCAAUCACUGCCCUAUCACCCAGGCUUAGGAGCACAAUAACCUACAGAGCUGCUGGUGGAAUGCAGAGGGAACUGGAGCACUUUCCAUGACUCUUCGGCUCUGUGAUACAUGCUCAGGCACCUGCCUAGCAAUUAUGAUGGAGAAACUCCCAAACUCUGUGUUGAACCAUGGGGAUCAGGGAGUAUCCUGACAAGGACUGAGAGUUUCAAGAAGAGCCAGGCUCAAGCUUCAAGGAGACAUACGCCUGACCACCCACCAGCCAACAAUGCAACUCUGGAUACAAGUGCCUGUGCCCUUCCUCCAGUUGCUGGAUCUAUGCUCCAUCCGCUUUCAGGAGCUCCAGCUAUGAAGUCCUGGUCAAGCCAGUCAAGAAUGGUUCAAUCAUCCCAGAUCCUGACUUUUGUUUGCAACAGGAGCACAAGAAUCCAACCAGCUGCAGGGUGGAGAGCAGAGACAACUGGAGACUUCCCCAUAAAACUUGUACAUUCCUUCUUCAGGCUUCCAAUGCCUAAUCUGUGAUUCUAGACACAGGACAGGAGGAGACUGAGAGGUGAAGGCUGGCCAGGCCUGGGUGUUCUGCUGGGGGCAGUGACCUGCAAGUGAUGUUCUGUUGACUAAGUUGUAAGCUGGUAAUUGGUGAAAUCUAAGAGGCUCUUUGAAAUGUACAGUGUGUGAAUCUGUAGC